rnacentral:rRNA from 1 species
UACAGAGGUCUCGAGCGUUGUUCGGAUUCAUUGGGCGUAAAGGGCGCGUAGGCGGCUUGUACAGUCAGACGUGAAAUUCCUGGGCUCAACCUGGGGGCUGCGUUUGAUACGUGCGGGCUUGAGUUCGGGAAGAGGGUCGUGGAAUUCCCAGUGUAGAGGUGAAAAUUCGUAGAUAUUGGGAAGAACACCGGUGGCGAAGGCGGCGACCUGGUCCGAUACUGACGCUGAGGCGCGAAAGCGUGGGGAGCAAACAGG